AAGCGAGCGGCGGGCGGAAGGAAGGAAGGAGGCGGCUUCCCGAAGGCGGGAUUUCUUACUGAUCAUGGAGGCUGGAGAAUUUUCUUCAAGGUGACCCUUUCCACCCGCGACUCAUGCCUUCAGUGACAAGUGACAGUGGAUGCCUCUGGGAGACUGGGGAAAAGGGGGACUUUUCCCUCAAAACUUCUAGAGCUUCGGAAGGAUUGUCACGGUUGCCGAAACGGAGGGAAGGAGUGAGAUAAUUUGGAUGUAUCAAGGAGGAGCAAGGAGUACACUUACCUCCAUCAACUCAAUAUAAUUGACUCUUGGCCCUAAUGUUUGUUCAGGGCUCAGGUAGGUUUCAAGUAAGCCAAGGAGGUGAAGGGAAUAAAUAUUUGAAGAAACAGGAAUUGCUUAUUCAGAUUAGGGUUACAGGAGACACACUGGAAGGGUUUGUUUGGCAAGAGAGGGGAGUGGAGAGGAUAUACAGUUUGUGGAUUAAGAGUUUGUUACAAAAAGAACGACGUAGGCUGGGACUCCUGCAAAUUAGUGAUGCAUCAUGGCAUCGGUCCUGAGAGGCUUACCUUGUAAUUCUCUUCAUGGUGUGUUGGCCUUGGGGCUAGUGGUUAUUCUUUCAGAAACUGGGAGUUCUAGAUUAAUCUGCUACAAUUAGCUCAGUUAGUUUGGCGGAGGCUCAGAGCCUCCCCAAACCUCAGUUUUUCCAUCUAUACAGUGAAGAAUGGUCUAAGUAAUCUCGUGAACUUCGGACAUUUAAAAUAUAUCUGAGAGGAAAGAGAUAGGGUCAUGCCACACAUGAGUUUGCAAUACUGGAAAUAAAUAUUUUAUCUUGCAAAUCAAUGAUGUAUCAAGGGUUAAUAUUAGGAAUAAAGAGAUUAUCUGAGAGUUUAUACAUAUGCCUCAUUGGCUUCAAAGUAUGUUAGUGAUUUCAACAAAAUAGAGAUACGUGACAAAACAAUCCAGCAUAGUUUAGAGAUAUUUGAUAAUGCCUUCCUGCUAAAGCAAAGACACUUUGUUAACUCGCAAAUAUGAAAUAGUAAUAGGUUUAUGAUAUCUUAAAUAUUAAGUAAUAAUUAAAGUUGAAACUGAAUUGCCAACCCUUAUCCCUCAUCCUCUUUCCAUUCUUAUUCUCCUUCCCAUUCAGUCUGUGUUAUUAGUUAACUGUAUUAUUGUUACUAUAACAGUAGAAUAAUGCAUAAAGGAGACACUUGAAAGUAUCCAAUCAUAAUUGGUGAAGGCAAGGAGUUAGGAGGUUCAUUCAAUCAAGAAUGAAAAUGCUUCUUCACAAUAAAAUGUUAAAUAUUUUAAUAUUUAGACUAAUUUUCUACCAACUUACUUAGUUGAAUUGAUGGAUUGAUUCAGUCAACCCUGUAACCAAACUAAUAAUCUACUGGUUAAAAACUUUAUUUCAAUCCAAAUGUGGAACAGCUUUGGGUCCCAUCAGAUGAUGGAUCUUAUCAGCUGAUAAGGAAUUUGUCCUGAUGUCUUGAUUUUAGCCAACUUUGGUGUCCUGGUAGGUGUUUUGUUGAAUGGCUUAGACUCUUCUUCAAAGAGAGAGAUGUCUAAGAGAAAAAGCAGGAAUUUGAGCUUUGUUGGGAAAGAAUAUUGCAUAAAAUCAAAGCAGGGUAAUGUGGACAUUACAGAUUCCUUAUUUGCAAAUAAAAAUUAUACAUAUGUAAUAUAUAUAAUUAUAUAUAACUAUAUAUGUAAUAUAAAUAUAAAAAUAUUAAAAAUAUAAUAUAUAAAAUAAUAUAAAAUUACGUAUGUAUAAUUUAGCUCCAAUAUAUAUUAUAUAUAUAUACAAUAUAUUGGAGCUAAAACCUUAUACAUGUGAAUUAAUUUCACUAACUUAGAGCAAAAAAUUAAAAAUUGGAAAAUUUUAUUAGUUUAAAAGUGUAUAUGUGUAAAAGUAGUUUAGAAAUUUCUUUAUCUUAACAAUAUCGAAUGGAAUUUAAAUGUUUGAGAAACCCCGCAUAUCGGUUUAUUUCAUACUAGGUAUUUCAACUACAGUUUGGGUAAUUGGCCACUAGGUGGCAGGACUGUGAUGUGCAUGUAGGUCAGAAGACCCCGUAAAGGGACACUGUAGGCAUAGAUCAUUUAAAAAGUCGGUACCUGGAAUUCCUUGCAAUACAGUUUAAAUGCACAAGUUAAGCAAAUACUUAUAUGAUAGGGUUUUUUGUAAACGCUGGAGACACAAAAUGAAUGUUAUAUAACCUAUGUCACCAAACAGAUGAUAGUUGGAGAUAGGUGUGUGGGGGUUUUUUGUUUUUGUCUUUGAAGGCCCUAAUAGAAUGUGGUAAACACUAUGACAGGUUUUUUAUUUCAAAAUAUAAUGGGACCAUAGGGACUAAAGAAAUUAGUUCUGCCGGUGGUGAUGAUGUUGAAACAAGGAGUUCUUGGAAAGUUACAGAGAAUGUAACUUGUCUUCUGAAAAGCAAAACAAAAAACAAUCUAAAACAAAAAGCACAAAAAUAAAUUAUCUUUUGUUAUGGGUAAAGUGGCAGUGUAAAACUUUAAAUAAAAUUUAAAGAAACGAAA
rnacentral:lncRNA from 1 species